GCCCAAUUUCGCACGUGCCUGUGGUCGCGUGCCGAUCGGCGGAGUUCCGGACAAGAGGCCGGAGUACCGCCGGGAAGAUCGGUAGCCGGAGGCGAAACCGGCGCACCUCGCUCUCAGCGGGGAACGUGACUUGAAGCAACGACGUAGCGGGCUUUU
rnacentral:sRNA from 2 species